GCAUGAAGGAAGCACACACUGACGAGAUAUAGUGUUUAUGGCAGGCCAAAGUCAGAUGUGUGCAAUUAGCUUCGUUUCGUUAUUUUUCUUUUUUCCAAGGGGUAAACAGGAGUCGGUCCCUUGGCGGAAAACCCCGCCAGGGGACCGACGCACGUUGGAGUCGGUGGGCGGCAAGCCAAGCCAAGUCAAGGCCGUCGGCGCGGCGUUCGUUUGUUUUCCGUUUUGGUUCGUUUGGUAUGGUGAGGCCGCGUCCGUUACAGUGAGAUAGAGCUUGUUUUUCAGCAAAGAUGACAGACGCUACGUGCCUAGUUGUGGUGCUUCAUGCGGACAUUAGACAAAAGUGCCUGCUUGAAGAGGACACUCCAACUGCUUUGAGGAGUGCUAUCUCGGCUUCGAGAAUGUUGGCGUCAUACGUGAACACCACUGACAGGAAUCAGGUAUGUUGCUUCUUGUGCCAUACGCUUGAAGUAGAACACAGAACUACACAUGCAGAGCGUUGUGAUGACUUAGUAACAACAUUGCUGUCACCUCUAGGUUCGGGAUAGCGACUUCAGUGAGUGUUGAAUUCGCGGAGGGCGAUGAGAUAAUGCAUACGGCGACAGUACCCGUCUUGCAACCUCACCGCCAGGAACGCUCGAAGGAUUCAACCUCCUUGCUGUCCACGCCCUGCGAAUACUGGGUUCGUGUGUGAAGGGUUCCGAAGCAAUAAAGAACAUGUUUGUGCAUUAUGAUACACCUGUGCCGGUGACACUGUGCAUCAUGUUCACUGAGAGCAGCAUUCAACAAGCGGAGCAUAUGGACCUCUAUGUCGGCGAGUAGCGCCUUCUCAGAACCAUCGACCUUGACGAGGGCUUGGCUGCUAUUCUUGCAGCUAUUGGUUAUUUCAUAUUGUCUACAGUUCAAAGCCGCACCGUACAUCUUGAAGCCUGGAAGAGCGGUGCCUGAAAGUGAGUGACUCUCGUGCAAGAAGCCCCGUGGAUCAAUUUUUUCAACAGUUAUGGACAAGAGCUUGUGAAUGCUUUGAACAUCUAAAACAUUUGCUACUCUAACUGACUUGUAGUGAGCCCUCCAUUCCCCCCCCCCCCCUGCCCACCUCACAAACAGGCAGCCAUUUCGUCAAGGAAUUGGAAAUUCUUCGGAAGCACGGGUGUGUUCUUUCUUGUUCUUUGGCACUGAACUCUCAUAAGCAUGGGGGAUUACCUUUCUUCUGGCAAUGUAGCCGUCCAUUUGUCAACAUACCUGGCACAGCGCAUUACAUUUAGGGAAAUUGUUUUGGGUAUUCUGUGCUUCCAUUUCUAGUCUUUAGUAUGUGCUCUUGUUAAGAGAUAGUCUUCUAUCCGUUUUCCUUUUUCUUUUUUUGCUUGCCAGAAAAGCUGUUUGCUGGCUGUUUUCAUUACCCUUUCGCAUCAACGUGCUAUAUUUGCACUAGCUUCUUAUUUGGUGUACUGGAUCUGUAGUGGUGCCUUAUGUGGAUUUAAACAUUUAAUAUGCCUUUUCAUCUUAUUUUGUGUCUCAUUGCUGCUGUUUCAAUUAGUUAUGUCAUCAUGGACUCAGUUCUGCUUUGCCUUCCUUCCACAUACUGUGCAUAUUGUUCCACUCUGGGCAACGUUAUAAGGAAUUUAGUUUCACAUGUGUACAUGCACUUGUACUUCGCCAAUAAACAUAACUUUGUCGUCA